UUCAUUUUAUAACUUAUCGAUUUUAGCGAGAUAUCACAUGUCGAAAUCGAGAUUUAUUUAAAUAAACAGUACAAGCAAAUAUGAGCACGUGAUUCACUUUACAGUUACAGAAUCACCGAGUCAGAGAAAAUACAUCAAUAAUUCUCCUCUACAAUUUUUUUUCCUUUCUUUUUCUUCUCUUUUUCUUUCCAUUAAACUUUGUUCCCACACCACUAUCAUUAUGUUUUUCUUUCUUUUUCCCCCACCACUACACUCAAUUCUUCACCAAUGAAUUAUUAGUAUCAACCCCAGCCAACAAACAGCUCUCAAUCUCACUUCAUUUCACCGAAAAAAAAUAUUGAAGAGCAGCCCCAAUUCAUUCUGCUAAGAUCUCAAGGAACCUUAAGUUCAGUUACUCCAGUUCAACAAACAACAAUAUUUAACCAACAACACAUUUCAAGGUCAAGCACGAGAUUAAUAAUCAGUCAAGGAACUACUGUACCACAGAAAGUUUAUAUCAGGUUGAGCAGCUGCCGAUGGUGAUGAAGUGACGAGCGGGAUUCUUUUGUCUUAUUAUGUAUUAAUGAACUCUAGGGUUACAUGUCUUCAUACAUGUAAUCAGAAUCAUAUUCCGCUGCGCACUCAGAAGUUUUAUGUUUAUUUGGCUAAGUCAGAGAUAUCUGAACUUACUAGUUAUUUGAGUCUAUACGACUAAACUUCUGUUAUAUUAUAAAUAUUCCUUUUGUUAAAUUAUGAAA